rnacentral:rRNA from 1 species
UGGGGAAUAUUGCACAAUGGAGGGAACUCUGAUGCAGCGACGCCGCGUGAACGAAGAAGGCUUUCGAGUCGUAAAGUUCUUUUAUAUGGGAAGAUAAUGACGGUACCAUAAGAAAAAGCCCCGGCUAACUACGUGCCAGCAGCCGCGGUAAUACGUAGGGGGCUAGCGUUGUCCGGAAUCACUGGGCGUAAAGGGUUCGCAGGCGGAAAUGCAAGUCAGGUGUAAAAGGCAGUAGCUUAACUACUGUAAGCAUUUGAAACUGCAUAUCUUGAGAAGAGUAGAGGUAAGUGGAAUUUUUAGUGUAGCGGUGAAAUGCGUAGAUAUUAAAAAGAAUACCGGUGGCGAAGGCGACUUACUGGGCUCAUUCUGACGCUGAGGAACGAAAGCGUGGGUGGCAAACAGG